ACACAUUCGAGUACUGUACACCACAGCGAACAAAAAUGCUGGUUUGUAAAACCUUGGAAGAGGCUUUAAGGAAAAUCCAGGAGCUGGAAAUGCAAGAUAAUUUGUGCCUGACUCUAGUACGAAGAAUUUUGGGAAGACGAUUUGGCCUAAAAAGACCUGUAGCAGUUAACAAGCUAUUAGAUGAACAAUAGCACAAAAUGACCACCACCACUAUCACCCUAAAGUGUGUGCUUGGUGUCUGUCUACACGUGCUUGCUUCUGGAAUGUUGAAGAACAAACUGUGUUGAAACGCCAACUGGAGUUGGUCAUGGACCUUUGCAGCCCUUCAUCCAGAGCCUUCCACAGAGAUGGCAGAUAUAUCGCUGCCUGGACCAACAGUUGACCAUGCCGUUGAGUCCAUGAUAUCAGUAGCAGCCAUGAAAACAUCUACAGAAUUACAUCUGCCUAUUAAUGGAUACAUUCUGCACCACUUCCAUGUGCUGUCAGUUUGAAACGUCUCUACUCUGACAGAAGGAAGGAAAUGAAUACCCAGCAUUGUUCCUCAGGAAAAUCUCUUCAACAGGCUGUUGUCAGUUUGCAUGCUCUUUGGAUGGAAUUACCCUACCUUGGCUUGCAGAGAAUCUGUGAUAUAAAAGACCUCUUUUGUGCUGCAUUGUGUCAUUGAUUUAUUGACCUUAAAGAUGUUUUAUAUGUAUUAUGCCACUAUUGUAAAAACAAAUGGGCAUAUGUUUUAGCAUAUGUUUUCAAACAGACACAUUUAUAUUUCAAACAGACACAUUUAUAUUUUUGAAUAACUUGAAAAUACAUUUUGUAGGUUGACUUCACACCAUGAAACAUUAAUGGUAGGUUAUAUUUGACCAGAACAUGACAAGUAUUGUUUUCGGAGUUUUUUGGUCGAAGGUGAAGGUAAUGGCAAACAGUGGUUAUUCUGCACAAUGACCCUUGAAUUCUUUGACCUAGGACCAUUAAUAUUUAGUGAUUGAUAUAUCAGUCCAACUCAUAUGUGAAAGGGACAUGAUGAAAUUGAGCAAGAGCUUAUUAGCAUUGCAAAUUAUUAUUUGUGCAUUUUUAGCUCGACUAUUCGAAGAAUAGGUGGGCUAUACUAUCGUUAACAAUUCUGCGUUAAAGUUUUCAUUUUAUGUAAUAAAAUCAAGAGUUUUUAUCCAAUGGUAAUCAAACUUGGUCAGACUAUUUGUCGGCAUGUUAUCUUGAAGAUGUAUGAAUAUGGGUCAUCCUUGGUCAAAUUCUAGGUCACUAGGUCACAUCUUAGAGAAAAUAUUUCCAUGUCAUAAAUUUAACAUUUUUUUCAUAUCUUUAUGAAACUUGGUCAGAAUAUUUGUCUGCAUACUAUCUUGAAAGUUUUUUAAUAUGGGUCAUCCCGGGUCAAAUUCUAGGUCACUAGGUCAAAUCUUAGGAAAAUCAUUCCACAUCAUAAAUUGAACAAUUUUUGUCAAAUCUUUAUGAAACUUGGUCAGAAUAUUUGUCUGCAUAAUAUCUUAAAAGUUCUAUAAUAUGGGUCAUCCCCGGUCAAAACCUAGGUCACAAGGUCAAAUCUUAGAAGAAAGAAUUCCACAGUCAUAAAAAAAUCAUUAAUUUUAGUCAAAUCUUUUUUAAACUUGGUUUGAAUAUUUGUCUACAUGUUGUCUUAAUCAUUUGUGAAUAUAGGUCACCUCAGAUCAAAAACUAGGUCACUAGGUCAAAUCUUAGGAAAUACUUUCCUGAUGUCAUAAAAAAAAUCUAUGCUUACCAAAGCUAUCCAUAUCAGUUAAUAACUAAAUUCAAUUGUUACUUUAUUAACACACAUCCCAAUCAUGAAUUUCAGAUCUAACCAUAUUUUUCAAAAAUUUAAAUUUUAAUUAACUUUAAAAAUAUUUGUGUACAUGAAAUCUUAGAUGAUAAAGUGUGUCAUCUAGGGUCAAAAACUAGGUCUCUGGGACAGAUCUUAUUGGAAAAGCUGAUGUAUUUAUAAAAUGUUCGUUUUUCCUCACACAAAUGGAAUAGUUUCUGUUGAUCAGGUUAUUUGUAUGAAUGAUAUCUCCGAUAAAUAUAAAUAUGGGUCUUUUUGGUUAAAAAUACUAGGUCAUUAGCUCAAAUCCUAGGUUUGCAAAAUUGCAUUGUCAAAUAAAAAAUCAAGCUUUAUGCGGCGUUGCCGCGUUGGCGUCUUGUUAUUUUUUUAUUUUGACCGGCACAUUUUUAUAAUCUUAACCAAAUCAAACCUUGUUUUGUCACAUUGUGAUUCUUAUUCACUUUUUUUAUUUGAUUGUUUUAUUGCUUUUUACAGGCACAUAUCAUACUAUUAUUGUAUUUACGUCCAAUUCCAUGAGGCGUAGUAGAGCGCACUGUUUUACGACAGCUCUUGUUAACCUGUAAAGUGAAACCUGGUUAUAAAAAUGACAUGACUGUGUCAUUGUGUUGGCAGGCCAGGAGGAGGGCAGCAUCAAAUACAUCCACAAACUUAGUAUACAAAGUAUCAUAGAAUUGCUUUCGGGGCCCAUAGGAUCAAGGUCACUAAAACAAAAAAACUAUUGAAACUUAAUCGCACAACAAAGGCUUAAUUAAUUAGGUUUGUCUGUCAAUCAUUGAAAACUUGUUGUUUUUUUGCAUUGCAGCAUUUCAUGCUUAAUUUUUAUUUUGUCUCUUUAUUGCAUAUAACCUUUAUCAUUAUUGUAUUCAUUUCUAAGACAAAGCAGCAUAUAGUUGAGGGCACUGCCCCAUGACAGCUCUUGUAUAUCCUAAAAAGAAUACAAUAGUGAUAUACCCUGAUAUAGGUAGUUUUGGUACAUAAUCACGGUUUUAAUUUUAGCUUUACUGGCCAAAGAUCAGAAUAUCUGAUGUGAUGGUGAUGUGUACGUAGUAUGUGCUUCCUAGCGCCUGUAAACAAUUGCUUGUGAACACCAUACAGUCUUUAGUUAUGAUUGUAUCUCAAUAAAACAGUAUUUAGAUAUCCAAUAGAGCUCGGUUCCUUACGAAAACCAGUCAGAUCUGCCCAUGCAUGCCUAGAUUAUGGGCCUUGAAUGUCUGUGCGACUAUAAACAAUUGCUUGUGAACAUGGUACAGUCUUCAGUUUUAAUUGUAUAUAGAUGAAACUUGUACAGUAUUAAGAUAUCAAUUAGAGCUUGGUUCCUUUCGAAAACCAGAUCUGCCCAUGCAUGCCUAGAUUAUGGGCCUCAAAAGUAAAAAAAAAUGCUAUUUUUAGCCAAGUCUACAUGAGCGAAGUCUAUUUUUAGACAAGUUUACAUGUAAAGUCACAAAUUCAUGUGAAAAAUUGUUCAAAUUAGGCCCCUGGGGUCAUUAUUGGUGACGCCACUGGGUUCACCGGUUUGGUAUACUAAACUGGGAAAUGUUUGAAAAUCUUGGUCUGAAACAACUAUGCAGACCCUUGUUAUUUUGAAUAAGGAUUAUUUUAGUGGUCUGCUACCAUGGUUGUUCAAAUUAUGCCCCUAGGGUCAAAACUGGCACUGCCCCCAGGGGUCACAAGUUUUUAAGAAAUAUUUUCAAAAUCUUCUUGUUUCAAACCACAAGGCUCAUAUCUUUGAUAUUUGUUGUGGAGCAAUUAUAUGUAGACCGUCUAGCAAAACAGUUGAAAUUAUAUGCCCUGGGCCGGGGCCACCAUCCAUUUUGUCCUUUUAAAGCUACAAAAAUGAAAUUUUGACCAAUAGUACAGUUUUGUAGCAAAUUUUAUUCUCCUCAGAUGACCUUUACUUGGCACAUAUUAGAAUACUAGUAGUUCAUGCAACUAAUCUGCUUACAACACUUUCUGUUCUCAGAUGUUAAAUGUGCAACGUUUUAAGCUAGCCCAAACACAAAACGUGAACAAUAUGUUUGUUGGCUAUUACUCAUACAUACAUGCUCUGGAUCAAAAAUAACCACAUGAGCCAUGCCACUAGAGCAUAGGCACUCAUGGGCCUCUUGUUUUUUUUAGAAAAAAAGCAUACUGACCAACCCUAUUUAUUUUAGAGAAGUUAGCUGAAACUAAGAACUUUUUUUACCUUACUUUUAUAUUCGAUUGUGUAUUGCUAAGAUUUUUGCUUAAAGCUCCAUUUAAGGUAACUGUUCAUCUCAAAUGUAAUAGCUUUUGCCUUCAAACUUUUAAAAGUUCAUUGAACCAGUGGGUUCAUCAUGAUGCACAUCUGUAAAUGUUUCUCCCUAAUAUGGGCUUUUAUAUAUGCAAACAGAACAUUGAACAAUUGGCUUUACGUGUAAAGUAAACCCUGUCCAGAAUAUUUGUCAAAUUGCUGUGUCAGCACUUGUUUGAAUGGAUUUAUUUUAUUUUCAUAUUAUGAUUUCAAAUAAAGUAU